rnacentral:rRNA from 1 species
AUGCAGGUUGCACGCAUGCAGCCAGGCAUGUCUCAGAGCCAAUUGAACCAAGGAAAUCAGUUGAGAAGCCAUUUGGGCCAGUUCAGUGGAGCUGCAAACAUUCCAAUGUUUACUGCUGCACAGGCAUCUUCAAACUCACAAAUGGUUAGAUGA